UGAGAGGAUCUCGGGGGGAUGAGAAUGAUUUGGAUCCAUGCAGACGAUUGAUAGGAUGCUGAAAUGGAUCUCAUCUGGAUACGCGGAGCAGGGGAUGCGGAAGAAGAUGCAUGAACUCAUCCAUGGAUGGGAGCGGAAUGGAAUGGUGAAUGCAAUGGUGAAGGGGAACACAUCAAUCAAACUUGAGUUACUUCUGAUAAUUUAUUGAAUGCAAUGGUGAAGGGGAACACAUCAUUUUUGGUUAUAUUUACAAAAUAUGUGCAUAAAAAUAAUGAUAAAUGCUACUAAAAAGAGGUUAAUUUAUGCAUUAUUUAGCACUUAUCACGCCCCCUAACCUACAUUUUGCUAGUGCUCAAGCAAAAUAAAAAAAUAAAAAUAAUUAACUCACUUUCGCAGGAAUCGCGAUUGUAUUUACCAUAUGCAAUAAGGCUUUAAACCCCUAGGUGGCCCUAGUGGACGAGUUUUAUCUCGUGAGGGUUUCCGGCGCAGCUACCUACAAACUACUGUCGAAAGAAUUUAUUUAAUUAUUUUAUAAAAUCUAAUUUCAACUGCAUAAAUGCAAAAAAUUGCAAAAGCACACAAAGUUUUAAUUACUACAUUAGCUCAAAUCUUAGGUCAGUAUGCAACUUAAGUUGAAGUCAUUAAGUUUCCGUUAGGAAGUUGUAAGGCUUAUUUAUACUUGGGUGCUCGGUGAUAUCUGAACCAUACACAAGCUAAGACUUUAAAUUUUCCAAAAUACUGCUAAAGCUAGUAGUUUCUAAGAAUUGGUCAGAUAAGACCUAAUCACUGAGUUGUGGAUGUUUACUUUAAUACCUCAUGGGCUUUAUCUAUAAUAUUCCAGUUUAUUCGAAUUUUUACAACAACGGCUUUCACACUAUCAUCUUUUUCAAGGUCAAUAUUAUUUUCUCUUUCUCUAUUUUUUUAAUUUAUUUAUUUUGUAUUUAUAAAUAAAUUAUGCACUUUUACUCUUGUAAUGAUUCCUCCGUGUAGCGGACAUUCAGUCAACAACUUUCACACCAUAUGGCAUAAGGUGUUGGGCAUCAAGACUCCCCUAUGGACCUAUGCUCGGUUUCAUCAUCACAAGCCCGCUGACCUUUAA
rnacentral:lncRNA from 1 species